AAUCUAGUGAAAACAUUUGUACACCCACCAGAUGAUAAAAACCAGUGUGUGGAAAUGCAUCUAGUAUGUA
rnacentral:pre_miRNA from 15 species